GACGAACCGUGCAAACGUUAUUCGGAAUCACUGGGCAUAAAGGGCGCGUAGGCGGCGGGGUAAGUCUGGUGUGAAAUCUCGGAGCUCAACUCCGAAAUUGCACUGGAUACUGCUCUGCUUGAGGGUUGGAGAGGAGAUCGGAAUUCACGGUGUAGCAGUGAAAUGCGUAGAUAUCGUGAGGAAGACCAGUGGCGAAGGCGGAUCUCUGGACAAAUCCUGACGCUGAGGCGCGAAGGCUAGGGGAGCAAACGGG
rnacentral:rRNA from 1 species